UGUGUGUGUUGCAGGGGCUAGAGAGAGACACUGCGCGUGCACACACAGAUGGGGACACACGCAGGACAGACGCAGUAAGACGGGCACACACACUUGGAUCCAGAGGCGGACACACACACACACACACUUCCCCACCCCAGCUCCGGAUUCGCCGUUCACACAGAAGCGGCCUCACCCCCCGACACUUCAUUUCCCCCCAGAAGUCAAAUCGGUGACAGUGGUUCACUGUGUUUCCCUCACAGGUUACAGAAAUGCGGGGAUCUCUGUGGCUGUGUCUCUGCGCGCUGCCGCUGUUCCCAGGUUCGGUGGCGGGGAACUCGCUGACCCAGAACCCGGCUUCCCUGCCAGCCACGGAAGGGCAGCGGGUGGAGAUCAGGUGUCAAUACAGCACCUCCUAUACCAGCUACGCCCUGGACUGGUAUCAGGAGCUGCCGGGGAAGCAGCCCCGCUUCCUAAUCGGGAGGUAUUCCUACGGCUCGGAUCGCAAAUCCGAUUCUCUGGCACCUCGGUUCUCCUCGCGGCUGGACACGAGAGCGAAGACUUUCAAGCUAACCAUAGAGGGGGCGCAGCGGGCUGACUCGGCGGUGUAUUUCUGUGCUCUCUGGGAUAGCACAGUGCUGCAGAGCGCACCGGGAUCCGGACACAAACUGCCGCGGGAGGCGGAGGAGCAGGUGUCUGAAAGGCGGUUCAGUGUCAUUCCAGCUCUCAGCCCAAGUAGGCAUUUUGAGAGACACACUUCAGCCCUCCUGGAAACGCAGUUUUGGAGGACGCAGGCUCCACGAAGGAGAUGAGAUGCGUUGCAGUCUAAGUAGCUACGACACACGGAAGAAGAAACACGACCUGAAUUUUAGAGAUGGGCAGCUGAGGUGCAGACGCGGGAAGUGACUUGCCCUAGGUGACACAGUGAGAGGGCAGGGCCAAGGAACUGGGU